AGCUCCAAUAGCGUAUAUUAAAGUUGUUGCGGUUAAAAAGCUCGUAGUUGGAUUUCUGCUUUGGACAGUUGGUCCGCUCCGGGCGUGUAUCUAUCUGGCCAGGGCAUCCUCCAGCAAUCUGGGCUGCACUUCAUUGUGUGGCGUAGGGUGUUGGACCUUUACUUUGAGGAAAUUAGAGUGUUUCAAGCAGGCCGAGCCUU
rnacentral:rRNA from 1 species